UACGGAGGAUGCAAGCGUUAUCCGGAUUUAUUGGGUUUAAAGGGUGCGUAGGCGGCUUUUUAAGUCAGCGGUGAAAUUUUGCAGCUUAACUGUAACAGUGCCGUUGAUACUGGGGAGCUAGGAUUUGGUUGCUGUGGGUGGAAUGUGUGGUGUAGCGGUGAAAUGCUUAGAGAUCACACAGAAUAUCGAUUGCGAAGGCAGCUCACAAAGCCAAGAUUGACGCUGAGGCACGAAAGCGUGGGGAGCAAACAGGAUUA
rnacentral:rRNA from 1 species